rnacentral:rRNA from 1 species
UGGGGAAUUUUGCGCAAUGGGCGAAAGCCUGACGCAGCAACGCCGCGUGAGUGAUGAAGGCUUUCGGGUCGUAAAGCUCUGUCAGUGGGAAAGAAGUGUAUUGUGGCUAAUAUCCAUGAUACUUGACGGUACCCUCAAAG